rnacentral:rRNA from 1 species
GUGCCAGCAGCCGCGGUAAUACGGGGGGGGCGAGCGUUGUUCGGAAUUACUGGGCGUAAAGGGUUUGUAGGUGGCCUGCUAAGUCAGACGUGAAAUCCCUCAGCUUAACUGGGGAACUGCGUCUGAUACUGGUGGGCUUGAGGACAGGAGAGGAACGCGGAAUUCCAGGUGUAGCGGUGAAAUGCGUAGAUAUCUGGAGGAACACCGGUGGCGAAGGCGGCGUUCUGGACUGUUUCUGACACUGAAAAACGAAAGCCAGGGGAGCAAACGGGAUUAGAAACCCGCGUAGUCC